rnacentral:rRNA from 1 species
CAUUAAAGUGCCAGCGGGACACCCCGCUAAAGGCCCCACACUUGUCUACCGAACCACGUUGCCUCGGCGGGACCGUCCCCUAGGGGACCGCCGGGGGGGACUUACCUCCCCCCUGGUCAGCGCCCGCCGGAGGACAAAUAACCAAACCUUUGUAACAGUGAGUUGUCUGAGCGAUUAUAUAAAUGAAUCAAAACUUUCAACAAUGGAUCUCUUGGUUCCGGCAUCGAUGAAGAACGCAGCGAAAUGCGAUAAGUAAUGUGAAUUGCAGAAUUCCGUGAAUCAUCGAAUCUUUGAACGCACAUUGCGCCCCCUGGUAUUCCGGGGGGCAUGCCUGUCCGAGCGUCAUUGCAACCCUCAAGCACGGCUUGUGUUAUGGGCCCUCGUCCCGCUAUUCUAGUGGACGUGCCCGAAAUGCAGUGAUCGCCGCCGCGACUCCGGCGCCCGAGCGAAUGGGAAUUUUACCACCGCUCAGUGGGCCCGGCCGGUGGCUUCGGUCUCAAACCACAAUUUUCUAAGGUUGACCUCGGAUCAGGUAGGGAUACCCGCUGAACUUAAGCAUAUCAAUAAGCGGAGGAAAAGAAACCAACAGGGAUUGCCUCAGUAACGGCGAGUGAAGCGGCAAAAGCUCAAAUUUGAAAUCUGGCUCCUUUGGGGGUCCGAGUUGUAAUUUGAAGAGGAUGCUUCGGGUGCGGCCACGGCGCAAGUCCCUUGGAACAGGGCGUCGCAGAGGGUGAGAAUCCCGUCUCGAGCCGUUGGACCCGUACCCGUGUGAAGCUCCUUCGACGAGUCGAGUUGUUUGGGAAUGCAGCUCUAAGCGGGUGGUAAAUUUCAUCUAAAGCUAAAUAUUGGCCGGAGACCGAUAGCGAACAAGUAGAGUGAUCGAAAGGUUAAAAGCACCUUGAAAAGGGAGUUAAAUAGCACGUGAAAUUGUUGAAAGGGAAGCGCUUGCGACCAGACUCGGGGGCGGGGUUCAGCGGCCAUCCGUGGCCGUGUACUCCCCGUCUCCCGGGCCAGCAUCGGUUCUCGCGGUCGGUAAAAGGCCCCCGGAAUGUGUCGUCCUUCGGGACGUCUUAUAGCCGGGGGUGCAAUGCGGCCAG